rnacentral:misc_RNA from 1 species
GGAAGUAAAAGUCGUAACAAGGUCUCCGUUGGUGAACCAGCGGAGGGAUCAUUACCGAGUUUUCAACUCCCCAACCCUUCUGUGAACCUACCUAUCGUUGCUUCGGCGGACUCGCCCCAGCCCGGACGCGGACUGGACCAGCGGCCCGCCGGGGACCUCAAACUCCUGUAUUCCAGCAUCUUCUGAAUACGCCGCAAGGCAAAAACAAAUGAAUCAAAACUUUCAACAACGGAUCUCUUGGCUCUGGCAUCGAUGAAGAACGCAGCGAAAUGCGAUAAGUAAUGUGAAUUGCAGAAUCCAGUGAAUCAUCGAAUCUUUGAACGCACAUUGCGCCCGCCAGCAUUCUGGCGGGCAUGCCUGUUCGAGCGUCAUUUCAACCCUCGACCUCCCCUUGGGGAGGUCGGCGUUGGGGACCGGCAGCACACCGCCGGCCCUGAAAUGGAGUGGCGGCCCGUCCGCGGCGACCUCUGCGUAGUAAUACAGCUCGCACCGGAACCCCGACGCGGCCACGCCGUAAAACACCCAACUUCUGAACGUUGACCUCGAAUCAGGUAGGACUACCCGCUGAACUUAAGCAUAUCAAUAAGCGGAGGAA